rnacentral:rRNA from 1 species
AUUGAACGCUGGCGGCAUGCCUUACACAUGCAAGUCGAACGGUAACAGGUUAAGCUGACGAGCGGCGAACGGGUGAGUAAUGUAUCGGAACGUGCCCAGUCGUGGGGGAUAACUGCUCGAAAGAGCAGCUAAUACCGCAUACGACCUGAGGGUGAAAGCGGGGGAUCGCAAGACCUCGCGCGAUUGGAGCGGCCGAUAUCAGAUUAGGUAGUUGGUGAGGUAAAGGCUCACCAAGCCGACGAUCUGUAGCUGGUCUGAGAGGACGACCAGCCACACUGGGACUGAGACACGGCCCAGACUCCUACGGGAGGCAGCAGUGGGGAAUUUUGGACAAUGGGCGCAAGCCUGAUCCAGCCAUGCCGCGUGCGGGAAGAAGGCCUUCGGGUUGUAAACCGCUUUUGUCAGGGAAGAAAAGGUUCUGGCUAAUACCUGGGACUCAUGACGGUACCUGAAGAAUAAGCACCGGCUAACUACGUG